rnacentral:rRNA from 1 species
GUGAAAAGGACUUUGGAAAGAGAGUUAAAAGUGUUUGAAAUCGCUGGAACGGAAGCGAAUGGAACCAGUCUGCCAUAGUGAGAUUGUUGCGUGCUAGUGUGAUGGCUUGCCGCUGGAGCGCAAGCACGGCGGUAGGUUUUGAGCAUUCGUGCGCAGUGCUUCUUGCUUUGCAUGCCACCGGCGAUGCGCUUGCGUUGAUAACCCCGAGCAGACGGUACCCCGCUCCCGGGUGGGUGAAACUGCUUGGCGGAACUCGUGUGCGCAUUGCUCGGCGGCAAAAUGGUUUCCUUCGACCCGUCUUGAAACACGGACCAAGGAGUCUAACAUAUGUGCGAGUACCCAGGUGUGAAACCUGCAUGCGCAAUGAAAGUGAUCGCUGGGAUCUUUGCACCAGCAGCCGACUGAUCAAUUGAGAGAGGUUUGAGUAUGGGCACAUCUGUUAGGACCCGAAAGAUGGUGAACUAUGCCUGUGGAGGGCAAACUCAGGGGAAACUCUGAUGGAGGCUCGUAGCGGUACUGACGUGCAAAUCGUUCGUCACACAUGGGUAUAGGGGCGAAAGACUAAUCGAACCAUCUAGUA